rnacentral:rRNA from 1 species
UUGAACGCUGGCGGAAUGCUUUACACAUGCAAGUCGAACGGCAGCACGGACUUCGGGUCUGGUGCGAGUGGCGAACGGGUGAGUAAUAUAUCGGAACGUGCCCAAUAGUGGGGGAUAGCCCGGCGAAAGCCGGAUUAAUACCGCAUGAGACCUGAGGUGAAAGCGGGGAUCGCAAGACCUCGCGCUAUUGGAGCGGCCGAUAUCAGAUUAGGUAGUUGGUGGGGUAAAGGCCCACCAAGCCAACGAUCUGUAGCUGGUCUGAGAGGACGACCAGCCACACUGGAACUGAGACACGGUCCAGACUCCUACGGGAGGCAGCAGUGGGGAAUUUUGGACAAUGGGCGCAAGCCUGAUCCAGCCAUUCCGCGUGCAGGAUGAAGGCCCUCGGGUUGUAAACUGCUUUUGUACAGAACGAAAAGGUUUCUACUAAUACUAGGAGCUCAUGACGGUACUGUAAGAAUAAGCACCGGCUAACUACGUG